GACGAACGCUGGCGGCGUGCUUAACACAUGCAAGUCGAACGGAAAGGCCCUGCUUUUGUGGGGUGCUCGAGUGGCGAACGGGUGAGUAACACGUGAGUAGCCUGCCCUUGACUUUGGGAUAACUUCAGGAAACUGGGGCUAAUACCGGAUAGGAGCUCCUGCUGCAUGGUGGGGGUUGGAAAGUUUCGGCGGUUGGGGAUGGACUCGCGGCUUAUCAGCUUGUUGGUGGGGUAGUGGCUUACCAAGGCUUUGACGGGUAGCCGGCCUGAGAGGGUGACCGGCCACAUUGGGACUGAGAUACGGCCCGGACUCCUACGGGAGGCAGCAGUGGGGAAUAUUGCACAAUGGGCGGAAGCCUGAUGCAGCAACGCCGCGUGCGGGAUGACGGCCUUCGGGUUGUAAACCGCUUUCGCCUGUGACGAAGCGUGAGUGACGGUAAUGGGUAAAGAAGCACCGGCUAACUACGUG
rnacentral:rRNA from 1 species